AUGACGGCGGCAGCUUGAACACAUCGCAGUCUNACGGUACAGAAAGUAGCUUGCUACUUUGCUGACGAGUGGCGGACGGGUGAGUAAUGCUUGGGAAUAUGCCUUAUGGUGGGGGACAACAGUUGGAAGCGACUGCUAAUACCGCAUAACAUCUCCGGAUCAAAGUGGGGGACCUUCGGGCCUCACGCCAUAAGAGUAGCCCAAGUGGGAUUAGCUAGUUGGUAAGGUAAUGGCUUACCAAGGCGACGAUCCCUAGUUGGUCUUAGAGGAUGACCAGCCNCACUGGAACUGAGACACGGUCCAGACUCCUACGGGAGGCAGCAGUGGGGAAUAUUGCACAAUGGGCGCAAGCCUGAUGCAGCCAUGCCGCGUGUGUGAAGAAGGCUUUCGGGUUGUAAAGCACUUUCAGCGAGGAGGAAAGGGUGUUGUUUAAUAAGCAAUAUCUGUGACGUUACUCGCAGAAGAAGCACCGGCUAACUCCGUGCCAGCAGCCGCGGUAAUACGGAGGGUGCGAGCGUUAAUCGGAAUUACUGGGCGUAAAGCGCGCGUAGGCGGUUAAUUAAGUCAGAUGUGAAAUCCCAGGGCUCAACCUUGGAACUGCAUUUUGAAACUGGUUAACUAGAGUUUUGUAGAGGGUG
rnacentral:rRNA from 1 species